rnacentral:lncRNA from 1 species
UCGGACGCGAUACCACUCGACCACAACAGUCACGAAAACAUCGAGAUCAUCCAAAACGACGUCCCCCGGGGGGGAUCUCGGUUUACAGACUCAACUCACAGGGAGGUGGGGGGAGGGGAGAGAAGGGGGAGAAAAUGGAAAGGGAGAGCGGCGGGAGGAGGCCUGGUCAAAGCCGCGGCGGACAAAACUUCUCGCCAGGUUGCCUCAGUUCUUGGGGAAGCAGGAACCUAUACAUUUCCCAUUCCUCCCAGGGAUCGCCCAAAAAUCUCGAAGCCCUCCUCCCCCGCCGUGUCUCUGUCGUCAGCCUCAGUCACGCUUCAUAUAAACAAGCCAAAACUGGAAGCCCCCGCCCUCCGCACCCCGUCUUCUUACACAGACACCACCAAACCGAGAGAGAGAGAAAGAGAGGGCAAAACUGGGUGGAGAGGAGGGGGGGCGGGUGCAAUGGUGUCUGAAUGCGGGCCGCCGGAUGAGAGGCCCGGUUCUACUCUUCUGGGUCCUUUGUUGAACCCGAUGAAGCGUCCCCAUUGGACGAUUCCUCCACGUUUGUGGCAGCAG